rnacentral:rRNA from 1 species
CACGUAGGGUGCGAGCGUUAAUCGGAAUUACUGGGCGUAAAGCGUGCGCAGGCGGUUUUGUAAGCCAGGUGUGAAAUCCCCGGGCUCAACCUGGGAAUGGCAUUUGGGACUGCAAGGCUGGAGUGCGGCAGAGGAGACUGGAAUUCCUGGUGUAGCAGUGAAAUGCGUAGAUAUCAGGAGGAAUACCGAUGGCGAAGGCAGGUCUCUGGGCUGACACUGACGCUCAUGCACGAAAGCGUGGGGAGCAAACAGG